AUGGAUAAUACAAACCACAAUAUCAUUGUGUGGAACGUUCGCGGGCUCAAUAAUGCGGCUAGAGGGGCUGCCAUGAGAAGCUUGGUAGAAGAUGCGGCGGCCUCGGUGCUGUGCAUCCUGGAGUCCAAACUAGCGUUAGUGGACCAACGUGUGAUUGCCUCCUUGCUGGGCCUGAAAUUCGAUACGUACGUGGCCCUGCCCGCGCGUGGCACGACAGGCGGGAUCAUUGUCGCUUGGGACUCUUUGGUGCUCACGGUGCCUGCCUUCCGCAUCGACCAGUUCUCUGUCACGAUCGAGAUGGCCUUUGGGGGGGGGGGGCAACCAGUGGACCCUGACCACGGUAUACGGGCCGACGGACGACGCACUUAA
rnacentral:rRNA from 1 species